rnacentral:rRNA from 1 species
UACGAAGGGGGCUAGCGUUGUUCGGAAUUACUGGGCGUAAAGCGCGCGCAGGCGGUUCGAUAAGUUGGGGGUGAAAUCCCCGGGCUCAACCCGGGAAUUGCCUUCAAGACUGUCGAGCUAGAGGACGAGAGAGGUGAGUGGAAUUCCCAGUGUAGAGGUGAAAUUCGUAGAUAUCUGGAGGAACACCGGUGGCGAAAGCGGCUCACUGGAUCGAAACUGACGCUGAGGUGCGAAAGCUAGGGUAGCAAACGGG